UUAAGCAUAUCACUAAGCGGAGGAAAAGAAACUAACCAGGAUUCCUCUAGUAACUGCGAGUGAAGGGGGAUAAGCCCAGCACCGAAGCCUGCAGUUGUUUAACAGUUAGGCAUUGUGGUGUUUUGGUGGGUCCAUGGCUUUACUGCUUCAUCCCAAGUCCAGCAAUGAGUGCGGCAAUUGGACUGGCCCAAAGAGGGUGAAAGGCCCGUGGGGGUGAAGAUCAGAUUGGACAGUAAAGUUUUGGGUCUACCUUGGAGUCGGGUUGUUUGUGAAUGCAGCCCAAAGUGGGUGGUAAACUCCAUCCAAGGCUAAAUACUUACACGAGUCCGAUAGCAAACAAGUACCGUGAGGGAAAGUUGAAAAGUACUUUGAAGAGAGAGUAAACAGUGCGUGAAACCGUUCAAAGGUAAACGGAUGGAGUUGAACUGUAAUCCUUGAGAAUUCAGCCGAUGAGUAUGGUUUGUGUUUGGGCAAAUUAGUUGGCAUUCAGAGUCUGCGUCAAUUAGCAGGUCUUCAUACUUUGUAUGGGGAUGUGCGAUGCACUUAUCAAGUGUUGUGCGCUCUGUAAUUGUCCGGGCUAACUUGUUGGUGCACUUUCUCAAGGUGAUCACCACGACCGGCAUUGUUGUCUAUCUACUAUGGUCAAACCGAUCAGAUUUGAUCAAUUGGUCAAAUUUGGUCGGGAUGGCAGGUGGCUCGUUUAGUCGAGUUCCUACUUGAUUAUUAUGAGUGUAAUUAGCUGACCUUAUGGUGGAUUAGUGCAAUGUGUCGGAGAUUGCGGCUUUGGUGUGCAUUGGCGCUAAUUGGGUGACUGUAUCGUGUUUGAUUGGCAUGUAUACCGGCCUUGGUUGGUCUGUCGGUAGCUCGAUACAGUUCGCUUAAUGGUAUCCUUUGUUUGAAAACACCUUCUGGGCCUAUAGUCUGUGGUGUAGUUGUAUGCUUUCCAUCCGACCCGUCUUGAAACACGGACCAAGGAGUUUAACAUGUACGCAAGUCAUUGGGCAUUACGAAACCCAAAGGCGUAGUGAAAGUAAAGGGUUGGCUUUAUGUCUGACCUGAGGUGGGAUCCUAUUGUGUACCAUGAUCUGGGACUACCAAAUCUAAAUAGCAGUAGGCGCACCACCAGCCCGUCUCAUGGCGUAGUCAUAUGACCUUGUUGUUGUGUGCACCGUCGGGGCGGAGCCAGAGCGUACACGUUGAGACCCGAAAGAUGGUGAACUAUGCUUGCGCAGGUUGAAGCCAGGGGAAACUCUGGUGGAGGACCGUAGCGAUUCUGACGUGCAAAUCGAUCGUCUAACGUGAGUAUAGGGGCGAAAGACUAAUCGAACCAUCUAGUAGCUGG
rnacentral:rRNA from 1 species